rnacentral:rRNA from 1 species
AUGGUGCUGGACAAGGAGGAGGAGAGGAGCAGGGUCCUGGUAAUUGGUGGCACAGGUCACAUUGGGAAGCAUAUCGUUGCUGCGAGUGUCCGCCGCAGCCACCCGACCUCUGUCCUCAUCAGGGAUGCUGCACCGGCUGAUCUGGCCAAGGCGCAGCUCCUCAAGAGCUUCAUUGAUUCCGGUGUUGCUCUCAUCAAGGGAGAUUUAUUUGACCACGACAGCCUCGUAAAUGCCAUCAAGGGUGCAGAUGUCGUGAUCUCGGCCGUGGGGACCUGUCAGCUCGACGAGCAGACGAGGAUUGUCAUGGCCAUCAAGGAGGCUGGCAAUGUCAUUAAGAGGUUCCUGCCGUCUGAGUUCGGCUCUGACCCAGAGCGGGUUCACACCGUGGAUCCAGCGGCCACACUGUACGCUGGUAAAAUCAGCCUUCGCCGUCUGAUCGAGGCGGAGGGUAUACCUCAUACAUAUGUCUGCUGCAACGGGUUCGCCGAAACCUACCUUCUGAGCAUCGGCGAUGUUACGGCUCUUGGCGCCGGUCCUCCGUCCGACAAGAUCACUGUCCUAGGCGAUGGAGAUGCAAAAGGGGUGUUUGUGGUGGAAGAGGACAUAGCUGCCUACACGGUGAGAGCGAUCGAUGAUACGAGGACCCUGAACAAGAUCCUGUACAUGAGGCCGCCGGCGAACAUCGUGUCCCACACCGAGCUCAUCGCACUGUGGGAGAAGAAAGCGGGAAGGACUUUCCAGAUCGCUCGCAUCCCAGAGCCGGAUCUCCUCAAGUUGAUCAAGGAGGCGGCAUACCCUCUCAACAUGAUGCUGUCCCACUCGCUCUCCGUGUUCGUGAGGGGCGACCAAGCCAACUUCGACAUCGAGCCAUCCUUUGGUGUCGAGGCCACCGAGCUGUACCCUGACGUGAAGUACACCACCGUCGAUGAGUACCUGGACCGCCUCCUCUGA